rnacentral:rRNA from 1 species
AAGAUAGGCAUGCGUCCCAUUAGCUGGUUGGUGAGGUAACGGCUCACCAAGGCAACGAUGGGUAGGGGAACUGAGAGGUUUAUCCCCCACACUGGUACUGAGACACGGACCAGACUCCUACGGGAGGCAGCAGUGAGGAAUAUUGGUCAAUGGGCGAGAGCCUGAACCAGCCAAGUCGCGUGAAGGAAGACUGUCCUAAGGAUUGUAAACUUCUUUUAUACGGGAAUAACGGGCGAUACGCGUAUUGCUGUGAAUGUACCGUAAGAAUAAGCAUCGGCUAACUCCGUGCCAGCAGCCGCGGUAAUACGGAGGAUGCGAGCGUUAUCCGGAUUUAUUGGGUUUAAAGGGUGCGUAGGUUGUUCGGUAAGUCAGCGGUGAAAACUGAGCGCUCAACGUUCAGCGUGCCGUUGAAACUGCCGGGCUUGAGUUCAGAGGCGGCAGGCGGAAUUCGUGGUGUAGCGGUGAAAUGCAUAGAUAUCACGAGGAACUCCGAUUGCGAAGGCAGCUUGCCAUACUGCGACUGACACUGAAGCACGAAGGCGUGGGUAUCAAACAGGAUUAGAUACCCUGGUAGUCCACGCAGUAAACGAUGAUUACUAGGAGUUUGCGAUAUACCGUCAAGCUUCCACAGCGAAAGCGUUAAGUAAUCCACCUGGGGAGUACGCCGGCAACGGUGAAACUCAAAGGAAUUGACGGGGGCCCGCACAAGCGGAGGAACAUGUGGUUUAAUUCGAUGAUACGCGAGGAACCUUACCCGGGAUUGAAAUGUAGACGACGGAUGGUGAAAGCCGUCUUCCCUUCGGGGCGUCUAUGUAGGUGCUGCAUGGUUGUCGUCAGCUCGUGCCGUGAGGUGUCGGCUUAAGUGCCAUAACGAGCGCAACCCACAUCGGUAGUUGCUAACAGGUUUAGCUGAGGACUCUACCGAGACUGCCGUCGUAAGGCGUGAGGAAGGUGUGGAUGACGUCAAAUCAGCACGGCCCUUACAUCCGGGGCGACACACGUGUUACAAUGGGAGGGACAAAGGGCAGCUACCGGGCGACCGGAUGCGAAUCUCGAAACCCUUCCCCAGUUCGGAUCGGAGUCUGCAACUCGACUCCGUGAAGCUGGAUUCGCUAGUAAUCGCGCAUCAGCCAUGGCGCGGUGAAUACGUUCCCGGGCCUUGUACACACCGCCCGUCAAGCCAUGGGAGUCGGGGGUACCUGAAGGGCGUAACCGCAAGGG